rnacentral:pre_miRNA from 1 species
GGCGCGGCUCGUCUCUUUGGUAUCCUAGCUGUAGGCGUGUCCUCGUACCCUAAAGUUAUGGUACCGAAGUUACGAGCCGUACCGCGCCUCCACCGAGCGCGGCCAGUCGCC